rnacentral:lncRNA from 1 species
UAAAGCCAGAAACUUCAGAAUUUGGGAGUGUCCCAAAUGCAGUACCCUUUUCAAAAUGCAUGUGACAAAACACCUUUCUUCCCUGAGCUAUGAGCUGGAAGAAUUUUCUCAGCCUUCAUGUAGGUGAGUAAGCUCUUUUCAUUUUGUGGUUGUACCUCUUUUAGUACUUAGAAUUUCAUUGUUGUGUCCAGUGAGCUAUGAUUAAAUAUUGAGGUCAGCUGCCCUCUGCAGACUGGGGUCACUAAGUUAAAUCCUGUCCACUUGCUGGAAAUGUGCAAAGUUUCCACUCCAGUUACAUAUAGCUUCUGUUUGUGACUAGUAAGCACUGAAUAAAUAUUUCUAAGCUGCUUACUAAUCCAGAAUUGUAUGCUUUUCUGCAGAUCUAUUUCUUCUUUUCCAGGCCUACUAAUUCCACAUUAGUGUCUCAGUCAACAUAUUUCAAGCCAUCUCGAAUCUAAUCGCCCCUUGGUGAUUCAGGGGACUGAGACACAGGGAGAA